ACUUCUUUUCUUACUGUGGAAAAUCAGGUGAUCCUCUAUUCUGAUAAUUCUGUUGUUGCUGUUGAUUUCUCCAGGAAAAAUUUGGAUGGUUCUUCCAGGCAGGCGUGUAGGUGUUUGAGUAUGGAUUGUUCUGUUGUCUUCCUUGGUUUGCCACAUAUUGCACUUGUUCUUGUACUGGAGGCAUGAAUGAGCUGUCAAUCGGGCAAUCUCGAGUAGCAUGUUGCCCAGUACACAUCUCACAGGUCUGCACACAAGUAUUGACAGCAUUAAUAGACAAAUGAUCUAAUUUUUUGAAAAGAGUGUCUACCUUUGCAUUGAGUGCAGUAAUAGCGUCUGU
rnacentral:lncRNA from 1 species